rnacentral:rRNA from 1 species
GCGCGAAAACUUUACAAUGCGGGAAACCGUGAUAAGGGAAUCUCGAGUGCCAGCAUAUAAUGUUGGCUGUCCAGAUGCCUAAAAAGCAUCUGUUAGCAAGGGCCGGGCAAGACCGGUGCCAGCCGCCGCGGGAACGCCGGCGGCCCGAGUGGUAACCGCUUUUAUUGGGUCUAAAGGGUCUGUAGCCAGCCAAGUAAGUCCCUUGGGAAAUCUGGCAGCUUAACUGUCAGGCUGCUAGGGGAUACUGCUAGGCUUGGGACCGGGAGAGGUGAGAGGUACCUUGGGGGUAGGGGUGAAAUCUUGUGAUCCUCGGGGGACCACCAGUGGCGAAGGCGUCUCACCAGAACGGGUCCGACGGUAAGGGACGAAAGCUAGGGGCACGAACCG